rnacentral:rRNA from 1 species
UACGUAGGGUGCGAGCGUUGUCCGGAAUUAUUGGGCGUAAAGAGCUUGUAGGCGGCGCAUCAAGUCAGGCGUGAAAGCCCUGGGCUCAACCCGGGAAUUGCGCUUGAGACUGGUGUGCUUGAGUACGGGAGAGGAUAGUGGAAUUCCCAGUGUAGAGGUGAAAUUCGUAGAUAUUGGGAAGAACACCAGUGGCGAAGGCGGCUAUCUGGACCGUAACUGACGCUGAGGCGCGAAAGCGUGGGGAGCAAACAGG